UUGACGAUCCGUUAGUUGACCAGCGCGAUGUAAUUAGAUGGUUGAUUAUCAUUUACCAGGCAUCUGUAGACCACGGGCCAUCGAUUGAUUGCAGUCGGCACGCCACGCGCCACAGGAGGCUUAAGUCACAAGAUGUUCUUGCAUGCAAGAUCAGUGCAGGAGGCUCCUGCAACACCCUCACCAGGGGAGCUUGGCAAUAAUGUGGACAGUGGAGAUGAAUCAUCUGAAUCAAAUCUGGACCACCAAGAGGGCCACUUUGGCUACACCACCGAACAGGAGAUCGAGCGCGCUGUGCAGGAGUGCAAGGCUGCCAUCCUGGAGAGCGAGCGCAGCUCCGACGAGCGGCGCCGGCUGGUGCGCCGGCUGGUGGAGCUGCGCCUGCACCGG